rnacentral:rRNA from 1 species
UGCCAGCAGCCGCGGUAAUACGAAGGGGGCUAGCGUUGUUCGGAAUUACUGGGCGUAAAGCGCGCGUAGGCGGACUAACAAGUUGGAUGUGAAAUCCCAGGGCUCAACUCUGGAACUGCAUUCAAAACUGUUAGUCUAGAGGCCAGGAGAGGUCGGUGGAAUACCGAGUGUAGAGGUGAAAUUCGUAGAUAUUCGGUGGAACACCAGUGGCGAAGGCGACUGACUGGACUGGUACAGUAUUGACGCUGAGAUGCGAAAGCGUGGGGAGCAAACAGGAUUAGAUA